rnacentral:rRNA from 1 species
ACGGCGAGUGAAGCGGCAACAGCUCAAAUUUGAAAUCUGGCCUCUUGGGGUCCGAGUUGUAAUUUGUAGAGGAUGUUUCGGACACCGCUCCGGUUUAAAUUUCUUGGAACAGAAUGUCAAAGAGGGUGAGAGUCCCGUCUUGAACCGGUGGUAGGGUCCAUGUGAAACUCCUUCGACGAGUCGAGUUGUUUGGGAAUGCAGCUCAAAAUGGGUGGUAAAUUUCAUCUAAAGCUAAAUAUUGGCCAGAGACCGAUAGCGCACAAGUAGAGUGAUCGAAAGAUGAAAAGCACUUUGAAAAGAGAGUUAAACAGUAUGUGAAAUUGUUGAAAGGGAAGCGCUUGCAACCAGACUUGAGCGCGGCGGUUCCCCCUUCCUUUUGGCUGGGUUAUUCCGCCGUGUCCGGGCCAACAUCGGUUUCGGUGGUCGGUUAAAGGCCCCGGGAAUGUAUCUUUUGGUCUCAAAAGACUUAUAGCCCGGGGUGUCAUGCGGCCUACCGGGACCGAGGAACGCG